rnacentral:rRNA from 1 species
GGGGAAUAUUGGGCAAUGGGCGCAAGCCUGACCCAGCAACGCCGCGUGAAGGAAGAAGGCUUUCGGGUUGUAAACUUCUUUUGUCAGGGACGAAAAAAAUGACGGUACCUGACGAAUAAGCCACGGCUAACUCCGUGCCAGCAGCCGCGGUAAUACGGAGGGUGCAAGCGUUACUCGGAAUCACUGGGCGUAAAGAGCACGUAGGCGGCCUUGCAAGUCAGAUGUGAAAUCCAACGGCUUAACCGUUGAACUGCAUUUGAAACUGCAAGGCUAGAGUAUGGGAGAGGUAGGUGGAAUUCUCGGUGUAGGGGUAAAAUCCGUAGAGAUCGAGAGGAAUACUCAUUGCGAAGGCGACCUGCUGGAACAUUACUGACGCUGAGGUGCGAAAGCGUGGGGAGCAAACA